CACAUAGUGUAGGGAACCAUUGUAACUGUAGGUUCGAACCUUCUAGAAGCAUAAGUGGAAAUUUCCUAUUCUGACGCCCGCUGGGAGUAGUGUCUAAUUACUGUUUCUUCUCCUAGUUUACUGGUAAAUAUUAAGAUAGGAAUAACUAUUAUAUGCAAUAAUAAAAUAAUAAUUAAUAACUGUAAAUGUUAAACUAUAUAAAUAGGCAAUAGGUAGAUAGAAUAACUCAUAUGUGAAAUAUGAUCCUGUGAAACCUAUCACCUACGAUGUCACGUGAUCACAAGCGCCGCACCUUGAGGAACGCCGCAUUGCCCCGGGCAGUUGGGUGGAGAGCUCCGAUCUGGCCAACUGGGUGUGCGCGGUGCGCUGUGUCCUGUGUGCGUGUGAACUCUGCCACGAACAAUUGCACUAAGACUACACCCUGAGUCUUUCCCACAAGUGUGUACCUUUGGUGUAUAAGGCAGGGAAAUAAGUGCAAGUGACAGUGUAUAAGUGACUUUAUUGUGGUGACAAGAACAGUGACAGACAGACUACAUAUCCUUGUGCUGAGAUUCAGUUUCUUGGGCUCAGUACUUAAGUGGUAUUGUAUGUAAACUGUAAAUAUAUAUGUACAAACUCAAAAAGGGGGUUUUCCUAAUUACCUGGGUAUCAAAAGACAGUGAUUUGCCUUUUACCGCUCGAAGGCUCUACCAAUGCGGUGUUAAAUAAACAGUAACACUACGCCCUGCAUCCUAAAUAGCAUUCCAUAAAUGGUGAUGCUAAUAAAAAGGAUAACAUAAAAAUGGUGUCACAGCUAAUGGGAUACGAAAACUACAAAUAAGCUGUCAUAAUACCCAGAAAACCCUUAAAAAAAAAAAAUUUCUUUAGUGAAACGAGACGAAACAUUCUGGUGAGCGAAUUCUUGUGGCUAAAGGGUAGAGCGAAGUGGUAGUGGAGAGCGCUUGGACGUGGAUGUUUACACACUUCAGCAGAAAACACCGGAGGGUCGCCCUGCUGAGGUCAGCAACCAGCAGCCAGGAGCAGCAGCCGGAAGACACAACAACCGCCAAGGCGCCACACCACUCGCUCCCCAAAGUCCCCUCACCGCUCGUCACGUUCACAGAGAAGUAUAACUUGUCACUACAACCACAACCCAUAACGCACACACGCGCACGCACGUCUUAUAUUCACACCCUCUACUUAAUCACUGGCCGCGACUGAGGAGUUGAUUAUAUAUCACUCAGUCAAGGAGUAGCUCUCAGAUUUCUGCAUAAUUCCAGAGACACGCAGCGGUUGCAGGGACUGCAAGUAGCGAUGUACUAACGGCUCGAGACUACAGAGGUGCCGUGACGUCGGAACUUCCUUACCAGACGGUCUGACGCCGUCAAGGUCUGCCCUGAGUAGCCAACUGUAACCUGGAGAGGGACGGAGAAGAGGACUAUUCUUCCCCUCAUUGCAGAAGAAAUUACACUCACACCUUAGAGAUGCAUGCUCUUCUAAUUCUCUUCACUCUGCAUGCCACCACUGCUAUGGAGCCAGCACACCUUAAACCGGGAGCCCUCGCUGCUCAUCUUGGCCGAGUUGCCCUGGUCGAGGAUGUACUCUGGGUGCGGUAUCCUUACGCAAGUUUGGUGAAAAUUCCUGGCAAACUAAAAAGUAUAGUGGAGUGUCUGAAUGAAGCCCUACAGCGGCUACAGGAGGUUCUUCCGAAGGAUUCACCACUUUCGGAUGAGUUGUUACCCCUUCUGUACAGUAGGAUUAAAUAUAUAAACGACACGGUUACCCUGGCCUUGGAAAACUAUGAUGGAAUUCAUAAUAGUAAUCGCAAGAAACGAGGUCUUAUCGACGGUAUCGGUCAAUUAUCUCGCAUGCUCUUUGGUACCGCAAUGAAUGAAGAUAUAGAAAAGCUAAGAGAACAGUAUAAUCAACUAACCUAUGUAGCUUCAGCCAACAACAAAGCUAUUCACUUACAUAACAGAAACAUUGCCAAGCUGGAACAGUAUAUAAAUGAUCUAGGCAGGCAUGCUGAACUCCUAAGAAUUCAGCUUAACGAAGCUUUAAAUAAUAUAAAGAAUUUACAAGCUUUUGCAGUCAUUCGUGAAGCAUUAUCAGCGCUUGAAAGUACAGCAGCUUCUCUUUUGCAUACGAAUGAACACCUAAUAAGAAAUGUAGUAGACGCAGCUCGUGGAAGGGUCACUUCAUCUUUAUUUCCCGUGAAGGAUUUUCUUCAUGCUUUGGCAGUGGGAAAAACAGAUUAUAACUUGAAACCCCUGUUUGAUGUAUAUGGAAUUCAUCAUUAUUAUCCACUACUGGAAUCAGUGCUGACGUCUGAAUCCAUUGUUAUUCAUGUUCCAUUCAGAUCAGUACAUAUCUUUGAGGUUCAUCGAGUGGAGCCAUUCCCAUUUCAGGUGAAUGGAACUGUCAUGACACUUGAUCAACCCAGUUCAGUAGUAUUGAUCAAUAAGGACCUUACGAUGUACGCUACAGGUAAAUUGUCAGAUUUAGACAGAUGCCAAACUGAGUAUCUUCACUUAUAUUUUUGUCCAGCAUCUCUCUUUGCCUUCUUGCCUGUUACUAGUGGCGGAAUUUGCGAAGUAGUGCUUACUCAAGAAGAUGCUUCCAAGUCCCUUACCUUAUGUCCGUACAAACAUUUGGUCCCUAAACCUUUCUUUCACACAAGUUUCUAUGGACACCACUAUUUCUUUUUCACACAAGCUUACUAUGUGUCUGUGGUUUGUCCUGAUGGUUCUGAAUAUAAGGAAGUUUCAGGUCAUUUUGCAAUCUUAAAUGCAUGUUCCUUGCGAUCUGACAAACUGAACACUUUCCCUGAAAAAUUACAUGAAGGUUUUGUGUCUAAUCUUACCUCCAGAAUCGUUCUUAUUGAUACUUUGAGUAAAGUAAAUCUUGCAAAUAUCAAAUUUGUGACCAAUACCUUAUCUGAGUUUAAUUUCUCUAAUCUCUCAGAACUAGAAAAUGCGGUUCAUGACUCUUUACCAGUGUAUCUUAGUCCCUAUGUGCAUUUUCCUACAAUCAUCAUACCCAUCAUUAUCUCACUUGUCCUACUGAUUCCUUUGUACUGCUGUGUUCGAAAAGCCCUGGAGUUGUAUAAUUACCUCAGUGGAAGAAUCAAGCACAAUAACAUGAGUCAGUAAUACACAUGACAAUGACAUGGGUAGGUACAUACAUAUAGGUUUGUCGUACGGCACGAGGACGCGCCGGGUAGGUGUGCCGAGCGAUGUUAGCACAUAGUGUAGGGAACCAUUGUAACUGUAGGUUCGAACCUUCUAGAAGCAUAAGUGGAAAUUUCCUAUUCUGACGCCCGCUGGGAGUAGUGUCUAAUUACUGUUUCUUCUCCUAGUUUACUGGUAAAUAUUAAGAUAGGAAUAACUAUUAUAUGCAAUAAUAAAAUAAUAAUUAAUAACUGUAAAUGUUAAACUAUAUAAAUAGGCAAUAGGUAGAUAGAAUAACUCAUAUGUGAAAUAUGAUCCUGUGAAACCUAUCACCUACGAUGUCACGUGAUCACAAGCGCCGCACCUUGAGGAACGCCGCAUUGCCCCGGGCAGUUGGGUGGAGAGCUCCGAUCUGGCCAACUGGGUGUGCGCGGUGCGCUGUGUCCUGUGUGCGUGUGAACUCUGCCACGAACAAUUGCACUAAGACUACACCCUGAGUCUUUCCCACAAGUGUGUACCUUUGGUGUAUAAGGCAGGGAAAUAAGUGCAAGUGACAGUGUAUAAGUGACUUUAUUGUGGUGACAAGAACAGUGACAGACAGACUACAUAUCCUUGUGCUGAGAUUCAGUUUCUUGGGCUCAGUACUUAAGUGGUAUUGUAUGUAAACUGUAAAUAUAUAUGUACAAACUCAAAAA